rnacentral:rRNA from 1 species
GACGAACGCUGGCGGCGUGCUUAACACAUGCAAGUCGAGCGGUAAGGCCCUUUCGGGGGUACGACGAGCGGCGAACGGGUGAGUAACACGUGGGUGACCUGCCCUCAGCUCUGGGAUAAGCCUGGGAAACCGGGUCUAAUACCGGAUAUGACUCCAUGACGCAUGUUGUGGGGUGGAAAGCCUUGUGCGGCUGAGGAUGGGCCCGCGGUCUAUCAGCUUGUUGGUGGGGUAAUGGCUACCAAGGCUUUGACGGGUAGCCGGCCUGAGAGGGUGUUCGGCCACACUGGGACUGAGACACGGCCCAGACUCCUACGGGAGGCAGCAGUGGGGAAUAUUGCGCAAUGGGCGUAAGCCUGACGCAGCGACGCCGCGU